GAUGAACGCUGGCGGCGUGCCUAAUACAUGCAAGUCGAGCGAACAGAUAAGGAGCUUGCUCCUUUGACGUUAGCGGCGGACGGGUGAGUAACACGUGGGUAACCUACCUAUAAGACUGGAAUAACUCCGGGAAACCGGGGCUAAUGCCGGAUAACAUUUAGAACCGCAUGGUUCUAAAGUGAAAGAUGGUUUUGCUAUCACUUAUAGAUGGACCCGCGCCGUAUUAGCUAGUUGGUACGGUAACGGCUUACCAAGGCAACGAUACGUAGCCGACCUGAGAGGGUGAUCGGCCACACUGGAACUGAGACACGGUCCAGACUCCUACGGGAGGCAGCAGUAGGGAAUGGUCCGCAAUGGGCGAAAGCCUGACGGAGCAACGCCGCGUGAGUGAUGAAGGUCUUCGGAUCGUAAAACUCUGUUAUUAGGGAAGAACAAAUGUGGAAGUAACUGUGCACGUCUUGACGGUACCUAAUCAGAAAGCCACGGCUAACUACGUG
rnacentral:rRNA from 1 species